rnacentral:rRNA from 1 species
CACUCUAAGCGGUGGAUCACUCGGCUCAUGGGUCGAUGAAGAACGCAGCAAACUGUGCGUCAUCGUUGUGAACUGCAUGACACAUGAACAUCGACAUUUUGAACGCAUAUCGCAGUCCAUGCUGUUUUGUACUUUAAUUAAUUUUAUAGUGCUGCUUGGACUACAUAUGGAUGAGGGUUG